CAUCCCAACGUGACUUUAUAUAGG
rnacentral:siRNA from 1 species